rnacentral:lncRNA from 1 species
CCCAUAUUUUGGGGUCCUUUCUCCCCAUUUUGGGGUCAUUCCUCCUCAUUUUGGGGUCAUUUCCCCUGAUUUUGUCAUUGUUCCUCCCCAUUUUGGGUCUCCCCACUUUGUUCCAGGAAGGAUUUGGGUGUCCAGGGGUCACUCCGUGGUCACUCCAUGGUCACUCUCUGGUCACUCUCUGGUCACUCCAUGGUUACUCUGGUCACUCUGUGAUCACUCUCUGGUCACUCUCUGGUCACUCCAUGGUUACUCUGGNUCUGGUCACUCUCUGGUCACUCCAUGGUUACUCUGGUCACUCUGUGAUCACUCUCUGGUCACUCUCUGGUCACUCCAUGGUUACUCUGGUCACUCCGUGGUCACUGUGCUCACUCUGUGAUCACUCUCUGGUCACUCCGUGGUCACUGUGCUCACUCUGUGAUCACUCUCUGGUCACUCUCUGGUCACUCCAUGGUCACUCUGUGAUCACUCUCUGGUCACUCUCUGGUCACUNNNNNNNNNNNNNNNNNNNNNNNNNNNNNNNNNNNNNNNNNNNNNNNNNNNNUGGUCACUGUGCUCACUCUGUGAUCACUCUCUGGUCACUCUCUGGUCACUCCAUGGUCACUCUGUGAUCACUCUCUGGUCACUCUCUGGUCACUCCGUGGUCACUGUGCUCACUCUGUGAUCACUCUCUGGUCACUCCAUGGUCACUCUGUGAUCACUCUCUGGUCACUCUCUGGUCACUCCGUGGUCACUCUGGUCACUCUGGGCUCGUUGCCAUCACCCCGGGGGUCACCCACUCGGGGUCACGGUGUCCACAUGUCCAGGGGUCACUUUGGGGGUCACUUUGGGGGUCACUCUGAGGUCGCCACCGUCACCCCGGUGGUCACUCUCAAUGUCCAGCAGGGUCCAGGUGUCCGGUGGUCAAUCCCAACCACUCUGGGGUCACUUUGGGGGUCACUCCCCACCACUUUGGUGGUCACUCCAUGGUCACUCUGACCUCCUUGCCACCACCCCAGCGGUCACCAGCUCAGUGUCCAGCAGGGAUCAAAUGUCCAGUGGUCACUCCCCACCACUCUGGGGUCACUUUGGGGUCAUUCCUGACCACUGUGGCCUCCUUGCCACCACCCCAGUGGUCACUCCCUCAGUGUCCAGCAGACACCCAGUGUCCAGCGGUCACUCCCAACCACUCUGGGGUCACUCUGCACCACUUUGGGGUCACUUUUCACCACUUUGGGGUCACUCUGCUCCACUUUGGGGGGGUCACUCCCCACCACUUCAGUGGUCACUCCGUGGUCACUCCCACCACCGCAGCGGUCACUCCC